rnacentral:rRNA from 1 species
AGUGAAUAGAUACCCUGGUAGUCCACGCCCUAAACGAUGUAUACUGGCUUCAGGGACUUCUGACAGUUUCUGGAGCGUAGGGAAACCGUUAAGUAUACCGCCUGGGAAGUACGGUCGCAAGAUUAAAACUCAAAGGAAUUGACGGGGGCUCACACAAGCGGUGGAGCAUGUGGCUUAAUUCGAAGCAACGCGAAGAACCUUACCUAGGUUUGACAUGUAUGGAUAUUGCCCUGGAAACAGGGUUAAUUGCCUCGGUGAACUUACACAGUGCUGCAUGGUUGUCGUCAGCUCGUGCCGUGAGGUGUUGGGUUAAGUCCCGUAACGAGCGAAACCCCUCGCUGUUAGUUGUCCAGCGAGUAAUAGUCGGGCGACUCUAACAGGACUGCGGCGUAG